GACGAACGCUGGCGGCGUGCUUAACACAUGCAAGUCGAGCGGAGCGGCGAACGGGUGAGUAACGCGUGAGUAACUGCCCCCCUCUCUGGGAUAACAGUUGGAAACGGCUGCUAAUACCGGAUAGUGGGGGAUGACUCGCGUCAUCUCGGCUUGUUGGUGGGGUAGUGUCCUACCAAGGCGACGCCGGGUAGCCGGCCUGAGAGGGCGACCGGCCUCAUCGUGCUGCGAGACGGCGCAAACUCCUACGGGAGACAGCCGUGGGAAGUAUUGCACAAUCGGGGAACCCCUGAUGCAGCAACGCCGCGUGCGUGAUGACGGCCUUCGGGUUGGAAACCGCUUUCAGCCAUGACGCGGUAGUGGCAGAAGAAGCACCGGCUAACUACGUGCCAGCAGCCGCGGUAAUAC
rnacentral:rRNA from 1 species